rnacentral:rRNA from 1 species
UUUUGGACAAUGGGGGCAACCCUGAUCCAGCCAUGCCGCGUGAGUGAAGAAGGCCUUCGGGUUGUAAAGCUCUUUCGGACGGAACGAAAUGGGCGGGACUAAUACUCCUGUCUGAUGACGGUACCGUAAGAAGAAGCACCGGCUAACUACGUGCCAGCAGUCGCGGUAAUACGUAGGGUGCGAGCGUUAAUCGGAAUUACUGGGCGUAAAGCGUGCGCAGGCGGUUUCGUAAGCUGGAGGUGAAAUCCCCGGGCUUAACCUGGGAAUGGCCUUCAGGACUGCGAGGCUAGAGUGCGGCAGAGGGAGGUGGAAUUCCACGUGUAGCAGUGAAAUGCGUAGAGAUGUGGAGGAACACCGAUGGCGAAGGCAGCCUCCUGGGCCAGCACUGACGCUCAUGCACGAAA